CAUCUCAGGUCUCUGUUGAUGUUCUACGUCCUUGUUAAUUCUUCACAAACUCUGCACAAGCAAAUGUUGGAGUCCGUUUUGAGAGCUUCGGUACUGUUCUUUGAUAGAAAUCCGACAGGAAGGAUUUUAAAUCGUUUUUCCAAAGACACUGGGCAUAUGGAUGACUUGCUUCCGCAGAUUUUUCAAGAUUUUGUGCAGGUAAAGUAACAGUCACAUCGACGUUCUCACAGGGAAAAGCCAAGUGCCUGUUUUUCAAGGCCUUUUCUCAGGGGCUGAGGGUGCUAUGUCCUUUUGUCUUAGUAAAAGGCCGUGUUUGGAAGAUAAGGUGCAGUUAUGAUUGGGAGGCUGAGCUAACAUGCUGCGUUAACAUAAUACCUGGUGUGGCAGUGGCUGCGCCGUCACGUCAAGGUUGAUGUAAAGCAGCGACAUGCUUGGUGAGUAGGUCUCCCUCUGCCGUCCAUGUAUCCGGCGUGGAUUCCCUUCACAGUGAGCACAUUUCGUAAGAUAGAAACCUUACCUCUCGUGGAAAGAGAGCCUAGAUUAAUUAAGUUAUGCAUUGUUAUCAUCACAAAACAUAUUGACUGCACUAUUUGGGGGGAAUUUAUUUUGGAUAAAUGCAGGUGUGGUUACUUACAAAGAAAAGAUCAGUAAUGAUAAGGUGAAAAUAAUACUUGGACAAGGACGAUAGAGAGCAGGUAUUGAUGAUACAGUAUCUGUAAGCCAGUAGUUGGAGUACAGGAUCAAAGUUCUCUCAGAAAAAAAUUUUUUUUUAACCUAGUUAUUUUUUUCACUCAUUGAUUUAUCUCUUUUAAGGUGUCUUAAAAAAAAAAAAAAA